rnacentral:lncRNA from 1 species
GUGCUACAAUAGUUUGGUAUAUCUAACUACUAACUAACUGGGGAGAUUUAUACAGAAGAUUAUUGUUAAAUUGGAUUUUCAGGGAGAAGUAAUUUACCAAGAAGAAACAAUGAAGGCAGCAAAGAUGGAGAGAAAGGGAAGACACUGGAAAAGGAAGGCUCUCCCUGGUGCCUUGUCCAUCAUACGUGAUGAAGCUAUCCUCACAGGCAGUACAUUUUCAUCUGACCUUCUCAGCACAUGGAAGUCUACCACAGAGUAAAAGCCAACUAUGUGUGAAAUACUGUGUCAGAUGCUAUGAAGAUGAAAAGUGUCUCCUCCGAUAGCUCACCAUCAGUGAGGUUGGCUUCAAUCUUUUCUAGACACCUCUUCAAAACUUCUAGGUAAAGGCAAUUUGCUUCUCCGAAAACCUUACCCCUACCCAUUGCGGAAAUCCAACCCCUUUCUCAAUUCAUUUUUCCCCCCACCUGAGUCUGUUAUUCCAUCCCAGAUGUGCAGUAAUAUAAAGGGUGUUGAA